GUCGAGCGGUAACAUUUCUAGCUUGCUACAAGAUCGACGAGCGGCGGACGGGUGAGUAACACUUAGGAAUCUACCUAGUAGUGGGGGAUAGCUCGGGGAAACUCGAAUUAAUACCGCAUACGUCCUACGGGAGAAAGGGGGCAACUUGUUGCUCUCGCUAUUAGAUGAGCCUAAGUCGGAUUAGCUAGUUGGUGGGGUAAAGGCCUACCAAGGCGACGAUCUGUAGCUGGUCUGAGAGGAUGAUCAGCCACACCGGGACUGAGACACGGCCCGGACUCCUACGGGAGGCAGCAGUGGGGAAUAUUGGACAAUGGGGGCAACCCUGAUCCAGCCAUGCCGCGUGUGUGAAGAAGGCCUUUUGGUUGUAAAGCACUUUAAGCAGUGAAGAAGACCUAACGGUUAAUACCCGUUAGCGAUGACAUUAGCUGCAGAAUAAGCACCGGCUAACUCUGUGCCAGCAGCCGCGGUAAUACAGAGGGUGCAAGCGUUAAUCGGAAUUACUGGGCGUAAAGCGAGCGUAGGUGGCUUGAUAAGUCAGAUGUGAAAUCCCCGGGCUUAACCUGGGAACUGCAUCUGAUACUGUCAGGCUAGAAUAGGUGAGAGGAA
rnacentral:rRNA from 1 species